rnacentral:rRNA from 1 species
AGUGAACGCUGGCGGUAGGCCUAACACAUGCAAGUCGAACGGCAGCACAGUAAGAGCUUGCUCUUACGGGUGGCGAGUGGCGGACGGGUGUGGAAUACAUCGGAAUCUACUUUUUCGUGGGGGAUUACGUAGGGAAACUUACGCUAAUACCGCAUACGACCUACGGGUGAAAGCAGGGGAUCUUCGGACCUUGCGCGAUUGAAUGAGCCGAUGUCGGAUUAGCUAGUUGGCGGGGUAAAGGCCCACCAAGGCGACGAUCCGUAGCUGGUCUGAGAGGAUGAUCAGCCACACUGGAACUGAGACACGGUCCAGACUCCUACGGGAGGCAGCAGUGGGGAAUAUUGGACAAUGGGCGCAAGCCUGAUCCAGCCAUACCGCGUGGGUGAAGAAGGCCUUCGGGUUGUAAAGCCCUUUUGUUGGGAAAGAAAAGCAGCAGGUUAAUACCCCGCUGUUCUGACGGUACCCAAAGAAUAAGCACCGGCUAACUUCGUG